AUUUCUGGUGGAACCUGACCGAUCUCAUCUGAUCUCAGAAGCUAAGCAGGGUCGGGCCUGGUUAGUACUUGGAUGGGAGAAUUUCCGGUGAAACAAAGCACCAGCAUUU
rnacentral:rRNA from 1 species